AUCGAGCACCUGCGGCGCUUCUACCCUUAGGAUUUAAAAGCUAUGUAUUCUUUUUUCCCUUUUUAUUGAAUGAAUAAAACCGCUAAGGUUCUUUGCGUACCUACUUCCUUGUUCUCUUGUUUGAGCUGUUCCUAACGCUCGGGGGUUGUCCGACCUAUUUGACAGACCACUCGCUUUCAUGCUCGGGGGCUUCCCCUAG
rnacentral:lncRNA from 1 species